AUUGAACGCUGGCGGCAUGCCUUACACAUGCAAGUCGAGCGGCAGCGCGGGGGCAACCCUGGCGGCGAGCGGCGAACGGGUGAGUAAUACAUCGGAACGUGUCCUGUCGUGGGGGAUAACCAGUCGAAAGACUGGCUAAUACCGCAUGAGAUCGAAAGAUGAAAGCGGGGGACCGCAAGGCCUCGCGCGAUGGGAGCGGCCGAUGUCGGAUUAGCUAGUUGGCGGGGUAAAAGCCCACCAAGGCGACGAUCCGUAGCUGGUUUGAGAGAACGACCAGCCACACUGGGACUGAGACACGGCCCAGACUCCUACGGGAGGCAGCAGUGGGGAAUUUUGGACAAUGGGGGCAACCCUGAUCCAGCCAUGCCGCGUGUGUGAAGAAGGCCUUCGGGUUGUAAAGCACUUUCGGCCGGAACGAAAUCGCGCGGGCUAUUACCCCGCGUGGAUGACGGUACCGGAAGAAGAAGCACCGGCUAACUACGUGCCAGCAGCCGCAGUAAUAC
rnacentral:rRNA from 1 species